UGGCACAGGGACGGGGCCUGGACACUUGUCACCAUGGGGUCUGUGGGAUGGGGCCUGGACACCUGUCACCAUGGGCAUCUGUAGGAUGGAGCCUGGACACCUGUCACCGUGGGGUCUGUAGGACGGGGCCUGGACACCUGUCACUGUGGGGUCUGUAGGACAGGGACGGGCACGGGGCCUGGACUAAACCAAUCAUGGGAUUCAGCUGCACAGGGUUUGCCGGUCUGCACAUUUCCCCACCAUUUUUUAGGGCCUUAGUCUAAGAAUGGCAGCUUUGCUGCCCACUUGCCCUUCAGUGGUCACGUGAAGCCUCUCUCCUGGUAUCUGCUUCUUCAUUUCAUCGUCUGUUAACACAGGCAUGUUCCUCUCCUGGAGACGUGUGCAGGGCUUGGAUUCUACUUCAGACCACGAUACUAAUGUAAUAACAGCAAUCAUGUCGAAUGCCCCGUGCUUCCCUGGAUCUGGGUGCCCAUCGCAGUCUGUCAGGCUCUUCCUGAACUAGUUUCAUCGUGGACCUUCCAGGGUCUGCAGACACCUCAUCCUUCAGCAGCGUGACGGCCGCCCUCUACGCCUUGGAAACAGAUGAACAAGAUGUUAUGAGUUCUGUGUCGUGCAACCAGGAGACGGUGGUGUAAAAGGACAGGAGACCAGGAUGUGUACGUUUGAGGUCCUCACCUCCUCGCCUGCAUCCUGCUGUGGUUGGCAGAGCUGAGACCGCAGCGUCUGGGACUGUUCAUGUGGUGGCCUGAGAGGAACAAACCAGGGCCCCUUCUGCAGGUGCGCAGACUCUGCAGGACGUCCACUCGGAUAAGAAACAUCCUGACACCCUUCCCGGGAGAACCAUAGGGUGACAAGGAGGCUCCUGGGGACCAUGGACCAGCACGAGGAAGAGAGCUGCCAGAGGGUCAGAGAUUCCUGUCCCCCUUCAUCACAGUUGCAGGGGAGGUGAUGAUUACGGUGUGAAGCCACAAGACGAUUUGUGGGUCCUGGUGGCCCGUGGCUCAGAUCACUGUGUGAAGAUGAGGGCGCGUGGUCCCAGUGGAAGACCCUGCUUAUUCAAACAGCUCACUAUUCUGUCGUGUAUAAGAGUGUCCUGGGCGGCUGUAACACAGGACCACAAACUGGGAGUCUGAAAAGAACAGACAUUCAUCCAGCCCCCGGUCCUGGAGACCAGAUGUCUGAGGUCAAGGUGUCCCAGAGCUGUGCUCCCUCCAGAGGCUCCAGGGGAGGGUCCUUCCCGCCUCUUCCAGCUUCUGGGGGCUCCAGGCGUCCCUGGGCUUGUGGCUGCAUCCCUCCCGUCUCUGCCUCUGUCUUCCCGGGGCUUCUCCUCUGUGUCUGGGUCUCCCCUCUUCUGUGUCUUAUAAGGACCCUGUCACUGGAUGUAGGGCCACCCUCCUCCAGGAGGACCUCAUCUCAGACCCUUCACUUCCAUCCGGAUAAUCAAGAAUGAUCUCUUCAUCUCAAGAUCCUUCAUUAGUUACAUCUGUCAAGAGCCUUUUGCUGACAGUCAUAUCCACAGGUAACAGGGUUUAGGACGUGGUCAUAUCUUUUUGGUAGAAAAUAUUCAAUCCACUGCAUGGUACAUGAACUGGAUACUUGGAAACUCAGGAAACAUCCAUUCCUUUUCUGGUGAACUGGAAAACCACGGAGGUCACGGCUUCUUCUAUAUGUACCCAAGGCCGCUUUCCUGGGCGAGUGACCCAUGUCACUACACGGGACCCUGGGCUCAUAAGGACGCCUAUUGGCUUAAUGCCCUAUGACCGCCAUCUUGAAAUUCUUAACGAAGCGUGAGCAAGGACCCACAUUUUCAUUUUGCCCUGGAACUGCAAAUGCGAUAGCCCUCUCUGCUCACGUUCCUUCCAACCUCAAGAAAGAGGAGCAAGUCUGCACCCAAUAAGGACCCCCCACCCCCAGCACACCCUCCAUCCAGCCACUGAUGUGCUCAAACCUACCUUUCAUGGGUGGUGAAGACCUCUCCCCGAGAUCCAGUAAGGCUAGUGGGUUUUGGCUGCACACUGGGGGGGCCUCUGAAAACCACUAAUGCUCACCUCCACCAUCAACAGAAUCCCCAAGUUCGUUCCUCUGGGCACCGGCAUUCAUUAGACCUCCUCAAGCCAUCCUCUUGUUCAGGCAAGGUUGAGACCCUCUGGGCCAGGCAAAUGCAGAUUGAAGCUUCCAGCCCUGGGCGCCAGCCCCUCCCAGAACUGCUCAGAUGUUCUGCUAAGCCCUACAGCCCCGACUGAUGUGUUUCAGAACUAGAAUUACUUUGUAUGUUCAAACCAAGAUGGAGACAUGCCUUGUCUAAUAUUUCCGGACAGCCAGGAUAAUGUACUACAAAGCAGGAUCUUGACUUCCAGGAGGAUCCCAACCUUGGAGCAUUUGCACAUCACUAGAGAGCUUUACGGCUUGAGGUCAUAGUACCCAAGUGCCAGCUACUCUUAGCGGCAUCACAAAGUUGGUUCCCAAGUACAGACUCAGGAUGAGGAUGCAGGAAGAGUCCUGGCCAGUCCGACAUCCUCUGUCACUUUGAGAACAAGCUUGCUGGCCCCUGAAGGAUGCUGCAGUCCCUGGGCGAAGAUAGGCUCUGAGAGCAAUUUGGACUGUGUAGGACCCUGGCCUCUCAGGGCUCCUCCUCUUUGCAUGACCGGCCUUAUGUCGCUCGUCCACCAGGGGAGAGAGAGGACACAGUUCUGGAGAAGUUACCAUGUUCCCUCGACACCUGAUUGUGGAACAUUCCUCAGAGCUCAGAGACACUUCCCAGCAGCUGGAGAAGUCUCGUGGACCACUGGAAACUCAAGAGAGUCGUUCGACUUUCUGGAAGACCCUAUUGAAUACGCAGAAAAUGGAAGUGGGAUGGUCCAAAUCCACAGAGACGAACUCCCGUGCCAUCUGUAGAAUUGUUGACUCCGUCCCUGGUGAGUGCCCUUGUGCGUGUCAGUAAACGGUGUGUGUAUUCCUGAGCUGCUUAGAGCAAAAUAUGAUUCUUAACCCUGACCUUGACCUACAGGUGUUGAGGGGAUGAGGUAGGUAAUCCCCUGCCGUAUUAAUCAUGGUGACCAUCCUCUGCAGUGGCUCUUCCGAGACAGAGAUUCAACUUAGAAUUUCCCUGUGACAUACUUUCUUGGGUCCAACUGGGACUCAGAACCAGGAGGGGGGGUACCAUACGGCAGGGCCCCCUGAGGCCCAUUUGGGUCUGAGUCAUAGCUGGGUCAAGAGCAAUUCAGCCAGUCCGUGGAGUCUUUGCUGCACGUGAAUUAUAUGUGAGAGUCAGGCACGAAAUGAGAACAGAAUGCAGUCAAAUACUCGACCACGAUAUCUAGGAUUUAAGCCCUGCUCAGGGCGCAGGGCAUGUCUUAACUUGCAGCACCUUCACUACGGCCCUUGAAGGAAGACAUCCUCUGGCCGAUGUUUAUAAAUGAGAAAGCUGAGGCACAACGCUUGAGUCAGUGUCAAGGUCACACAGUUUGUAAACGUGGAAGAGUCGGGAUGCUAAUUCAGACAGUAUCAGGCGCAGGAAAAGGAAAUGACUUGUAUCUAAGUGUUGGGGCCGAUGGUUAAUUUCCAAACGUGGUCACCAUCUAUUGGAAAACCCCUAAGGUCUAGCAUUUGAGAGAUGGAGGGCAGAAAUUCCUUCCAGGGAAGAAAUACCCAGACCCCCUGGUGGAGAGUCAUCUGGGUUCUGCUGGGAAGUGCCCAGGGAAGUGGUCGCAGAACGCUGUGUAGCAGCCAGGUUCUCACCUCCCUGGUAUCUGACUUGAGGGUCUUCCACCGGGAAGCAGUAGGAGCUCCUCUUAAUAGCAGAAGCUAUGUCAGUAGUCGUUGUAGUGACAAAAAUUGUCUCCUCAACCAGACACUAUCAGGCUCCCCUAAAUUCUUCAGUGAGGUCUGAGUUUUGGACUUUUGUGUACAUUUCUGCAUUGUCCAAUUUUAGCAAGAGCCACGCUUAGUCGGUUUAACCAGAACCCACCCCCUUCGUAUCUGGUCAUCUCCAUGUCUGGUCAACUUCGUAUCUGCUCAUCUCAGUAUCUGAUUAGGUUCCUCAUCCUGCACGCCCCACCCCCCAGGUGACAUCUAGUCACCCUUCCCUGUCUUCAGCAGGAAUCCUGUGGGGUCAGUUUAGCCAGAAUGCCCUCACCCCUAAUUUUCCUGUUAGUAGUUUUCCAUCCACUGACCCUCCCCUGCUCCGUGGCUAUAAAUCCCCACUUGCCCGUGCUGCCUUUGCAGUUGAGUCUGGCUCUAUACUGAGCUCUCUUUGCUCUAUUGCAAUAGUCCUGAAUCAAGUCUGUUUUUACCACUUUUUCUGUCCUGCUCUGGUUUUUCUUUAACAGUAAUAGUAAUAAUAGCAGUAGUAGUUGUUGUUGUAACAAUGAUUGGAGUAGGAGUAGCAGUCAUAGUAGCAUUAGUAACAAUCGUGGCAAUAGUUGUUGUAUUAAUAGUAACAAUCCUUGUAGUAGUUGUUAUCCUAGCAGUAGUAACAAGAGUGGCAGUAGUUGUAGUAGCAAAUUGUAGUAGCCGUAGUAACAAUAGGGGCAAUAAUUAUUGUAGUAGCAAUAGUUGUAGUCAUUGUAGUAGCAAUGCUAGUUAUAGUAGUAUCGAUAGUUGUUACAGAAGUUGUAGUUGCGAUACUUGUAAAAAUAGUUGUAGUAGUAUUUGAAGUAGUGCCUAUAGUUGUAGGAAGAGGAGGAGAAAUAAUUACAGAAGCAGUUUAGCAGUAGUAAUAGCACUAGGUCUAGCAGUAAUCAUUGUCCUAGAACUAGUUGUUGUAGUAAUUGUAGUUGUAGCCACAGCAACAAUUGUAAUAGUAUAACAGUGGUACUGGUAAUUGUUAUAAUUGUAGUAGUAAAUGUAAUCGUUGUAGUAGUCAUUGUAGUACCACUCAUUGUUGUAAUAAUUGUCAUUGUGGCACUAGUAAUAAUUAUAGUAGUGUCUGUCAUAGUCGUAUUGUAGUAAUUGUUAAAAUUGUACUCAUAGACAUAAUAGCUGUAGUGAUGGUUGUAGUAGCAUAAGUGUAAUCACUGUAGUUGGGGCGGUAGGAAUAAUUGUAGUAGUGGUGGUAAUAACAGUAGUUUUUGUAGCACGAGCAACUGUUGUAGUUGUGGUAGUAAUAGGAGUUGUGAUACUAAUAGUUGUAGCCGUCACUGUAGCUGUAGCAAUAAUUGUAGUAGUUGUGAUAGGAACAGUAGUAGCUGUCGUAGUCCUGGUAGUACCAUUUGCUGUCACAGCAGUAGCUGUAGCCACAGCAAUAAUGGUACUAGUGGUCGUCGUCAGAAUUGCUGUGCUUGUAAUAAUAGUAGCAGUUGUAGUGGUGCUGAUUGCUGUAGUCACUGUUGCAGUAGUCACAACUGUAGCAGCAGUGGUAGUAGUCGUUGUGGUAGUAGUAAGUGUUACAGUUGUGAGAGUAACCCUAAGAGUUGUAGUAGUAAUUAUACCAGUACUAAUGGCUGUAAUAGUUAUAGCACUGGUAAUAAUUAUAGUAGUGUUUGUAAUCAUAGUAGUUGUAGUAAUUGUUGUAACUGCAGCAGUAAAUGUAAUAGUUGUAGUGGUGGUUGUAGGAGAGGUACCUUUUAUAGCAGUAGCAACUGUUGUAGUUGUAGUAAUACGAGUUGUCACAGUAAGAGUUGUAGCAGUACUAAUUGUAAUAGCGGUGGGUGUAGCAGUAGCAAAAAUGAUAGUAGCCGUGACAGUAGUAGCGACUACAGUAGUGGCAGUCAUUGUUGGAGUCACUGGAAUUGCUGUACUUGUAAGAAUAAUAACAGUAGCAGUUGUAGUACACAUUGCUGUAGUCAUAGUGGUAGGAACUUUUGCAGCAGCAGCAGUAGUAGUUGUAGCAGUAAAUAGUACAGUUGUAGUAGCAAACCUCAUGGUUGGGGUAGUAGUUACAGUGCUAAUUGCUGCAGUCAUUGUAGCAGUAGUCAAUCGUAGCAGCAGUAAUGGUAGUAGUCGUUGUCGUAGUGGUAAAUGCUACAGU